rnacentral:rRNA from 1 species
CAGUCGCCACGGUAAUACGUAGGGUGCGAGCGUUAAUCGGAAUUACUGGGCGUAAAGCGUGCGCAGGCGGUUAUAUAAGACAGAUGUGAAAUCCCCGGGCUCAACCUGGGAAUGGCGAUGGAUACUGGCUGGCUAGAGUGUGUCAGAGGGGGGUAGAAUUCCACGUGUAGCAGUGAAAUGCGUAGAUAUGUGGAGGAAUACCGAUGGCGAAGGCAGCCCCCUGGGAUAACACUGACGCUCAUGCACGAAAGCGUGGGGAGCAAACAGGAUUAGAUACCCCUGUAGUCCCUGUCUCUUAUAC